CGGCAAGUAUCAGCCUUCCGAUGAAGAUUUUGAAGCCUUGCAGACUUGCAGUAUUUGCAGAGCGAUUUCCAGAAGUAUAUGUGCCGGGAAAUGAAAUGAUUUUACAAAUACGGAAAGAACUGCUUGGAGCGAUUUUUUGUGUAUUUGCUGAAACUUGAGUGCAAAUGGAUUAGGUUUACAAGCUGCGGGUGGUAAAGAUUAUUGUGAAGUCGUGAUAAACUUCCCUAGCGACACCGUCCCCAAAUGGGUAGGUUCUUCUCUUAUAUUUUCAUCAGAUUGGCUCCUUUGUGUUAUGGUGAUGCUUGCAAAUUUAUAAAUUAUGAUAUGGGGACAAACUUUUUUUAAUAUUUCUUUUUUUGAGGCUUGCUAUGCAGGAAAUUCCAAUAAACAAUCCUGUAUAUCUCAGAUUAGGUGCAUCCUUUGGCUCAGCAGAAAAAGGAACUGGGCUCAAGGCUCUUGAAUUUUCUCUCUAUAUUUGUGAAUCCAUAGAUAUGUAUGGUUUUAAUGUGGAUUCCAGUAUUAAAGAAUGGUAUAAAAAUUUCUUUCCAGCAGUUAGUAUUUCCGAUUUUAUAUACUUGAUAAUGUUUACCUGAGUAGGGAGCCUUAUAAUAUUCUCAGGACUAGAUAUUUCUCUGAAUCUUGACAAGGUCAUACUCCUUUGCCUGGUAGAGCUUCUAGUAGUGGUCCAUCCAAAAUCUAAUGGUGAUUUUUAGUGCCAUGUUAGGGAGCAUGUAUUUGAGAGUGUGUGUAGCAUUUUUCACACCCAAUACCUGUUAAGGAGGCUUGAAGUUGCAAAUUCUAAUUAAGAGGUCAUGGAACAUUGGUGGAGGUUUUUUCUUCUGUUUAUGUGGUGUAUUGGGUCAACAAUUUUGGAUCCAAGAUGGCACCAUCCUAGGAAAAUGAUGUAACCAAGCAAACAGUUAUAUGUUGAUUACUGAAUUGUAAUCAUGGUGAUUGCUUGAUAUCCAGAACUAAAUUUUUAUAUUAUUUUGCAAAUAAAAUUUUCCUCAUUGCAACUUGUAUGAACACUCCAUUAUUCCUUCCUUCCUGAUAUGAGUGAAAUCUUCUCAUUGGUUAUUAUAUUUUGUCAUUAACUGUCUUUUUUAUCUUUUUCUACUUGUUAAGGUUAUCAAAAUCCAUUCUCCUAUGCGAGCUGAACCAAAUUGUGUUGUAAAAUGGGUACCAAGCCGUGGCACAAUUAGAGCUGCUAGAAUCACAUCAGAGAAAUUAUUGAAGAGGGUUGGAGCAGGGUCUGGAGACCCAUUAGCUGCAUGCUCAACUAUUAAGAAGAUAGUUGAGAGAAAGCCAAUCGCAUUGUCAAACCUCAGAAAGGCUGCUGCUGACCAUCAAAAAUUUGUGAAGGGCACAACCAUGUACCCUUUGGAGCAGAGUCUAGGACAUGGGGCACUUUGCACAGUGCCAGCAAAUUGAUUCACACAGAGCUGACUAUUGAUCUGUGAUUUGGUUUGUUUCCACAUUAGCGACUGGACGAAGAAAUGGCUGCUGACCAAUCUACAUUGCAUUAUUCUGUAUAUGAAAGAAUUUGUUCAAGGCGAUGAAGAUUUUUUUUUCAUGCCCCCACGUUUUAUCGAAGUUUUGAUAUUCCCCACUCCCAGUUAGAUAGCAAUUUGUUCAAGUCGAGUAUACGGUUGUUUUUCUUCUAAUUCCGGUG